AUCUGGGUCAAUAGUUCCAUAUUGAAUAGGAAUAUGCGCACGUAGCGCCACCUAUGCUUUCUGCAAUGCUACUAACUGUUCAUGCAAAGUCGCAUACUUCUAUGUACCGGUAUACUAGAAACUUCCAAAGUCAGCAGAAUGAUAUAAAACAAGAAUACCACAUUGUCAUCGCGUGUGUUUCAUUACAUACCAUACUAGAAUGCGAUAAUUCUGUUCUAUUACACCCACCCACCCUGAUGUUUUAUUCUUGGAAUUUUCUCGCUUCUUGCCACAUAGGAUUUUCAUUUCCAAUAUGGCAUGAUAAAACAUUGCAAACAAUACAUAUUUUAUUAAAAAUUGUCUUUUGAAGCAAACAACACAUAUUUUGUUCUAGAAUAUCGUAUAAAUGCUUCUUGACAAUUUCCAGACCUAUGUUUAAACACACUGCAUUAUAUGGUGAAAUUUUUAUAUCUUCCGUGAAUUUUACAAUAAGCUACUGCACUGGAAAUUAUCAAUGGUUCGUAUUGUUCAAUGACAGCAUAAUUCAGAUACUGUCCGUUAUAGCAACGCAUAAUCUAGUCUUAUAUCAUACUUAAAGAGCUUCUCUAUAAAACGAUUUAGUAUUCAGGCUUACAUUCAGUGACUGUGUAAACACAUUCACACAUAUAUAUGUUAUAUGCAUACAUGUACUGCAUUGGAUCCUUUCUCAAAAAUUGGAGUAUUGAAAAACAAAAUUGAAGGAAUACGGACGGCUUCUGUAAAAGACAUUCCAAAUCUCAUGGACGAGCUGACGUUCGGACUUCCAAAUACUACAUUUCAAGCAGCACUAGAAACGUUUUCUGAUUCUUCGUGGGACUUGUCAAUUACAAUCAUCUCAAUAAUCAUCCUUGUUAUCGGAGUGACCGGUAAUACUAUUAUAAUCAUUGUUGUAUCAACAAGGAAGAGACUUCGAACACCGACAUUCACGGCAAUAGCUUGUCUCUCUGUUGCUGAUUUGCUGUUUGUGCUCGCGUUACGUGUUCACGAUUAACGGUAUUCAAAAUGUCAUGGGAUACCAAUUUUGGAAUAUUUACGCAACAGUGACGUUUUAUUUCUUACACAGUGCGAACUUUCAUAUCGUGUUGAUUGCAUAUUUACGUUAUGUAUUUAUUACUAAACCUUUGCAAAGUGUGAAGAUCACCACAAAAAGCGUAUUAAAAAUGUCGGGAGGCGUAUGGUUUGCAGGAAUACUAACUGGAUCUCUAUACUGCCUAAUAAUUUUGUUGGAACUGCAUGAUAAUAUCACUUUCAAGGAUGGUUCUGUUUUGGAAAUAAUAUCCUGUAUAUAUAUCACAUUUGUACCAUUUUUACUCAUCGUGGUUUUGCAUAUUAUGAAAAUUUUCAAACUAAAUACGACGGGACAUUUGUCAUCAGGACAACACUCAUCAAUUUCGAGAAGAAUGUCCCUGAUGAUAUUUAUAAUCAUUGUGAUUUAUCUAUUGAGUACCACUCCAAUGUUAACAGUUAUAAUUUUAUAUUUUAUAUGUAUUUCUAUAGAUUUCAGGCUCGCUGUAUGUCAUAUUUUCUUUUCUUAUUACACUGUAUCCGUUGUGUCAUUAUGUUUGCUUUUGAACAAUGCUGUUAAUCCAUUAAUUUACUUCUUUUUUUCUCCUCCAAGUCUUAAAGUCCUUCGCAGAAUCAAGCAAUGCUGCACAAAAUCUUAAUCUUCAGGAAUCAAGCAAUGCUGCACAAAAUCUUAAUCUUCAGAAAUCAAGCAAUGCUGCACAAAAUGUUAGUCUUCAGGAAUCAAGCAAUGCUGCACAAAGUUUAAAACAAUUAAUAAAUCAAUAGAGGCUAUGUUCAACAAAUAUAUGAAUAACUUGUAUAAAGGUUUUU